UAACCAUCGUCAAUAAACAACAAGUUUAUUGAUGAUAAGAUCAGAGUGACUGGCAGUGAUCAGAGUGACUGGCAAUCAGACUGACCCCACUGUAAUCAAUGUGAUUGGUCAUCAGAGUGAGUAUCAGUAACAGCAGAAAGAAAAUUAUAUUAUAGCUAUAGUAAUUAAGAAAUAAAAGUGAACUCCACAAGAUCUGGAUCAGCUUAAUAUUAUGCUUUAAAAGAUUCAUGGGAAUUCAGGAGGGUUAUUCCCCAGAAAGAGGACACCCCUCGCACCCCUGAUCGACAAAUGAGCAAUAGAAGCGCAUCACAUAGGUAAUUCAAACGUUAUUUGGCAUUAAGAACAGAAAACCUGAAACCUGUAACACGUAUUUAAAAAGACACAAAGCAGCAUGGCUCACGGCCCGGCCACACGUCAGUAAACAGUAAGCUUAUAUUUGCUGUUUAAACCAUUCAUCUUCAUAACAGUCAGGCAGCUUGGACUGACAGAGUCACAGGGUUUACGCAGAGUGACGCCCCCGUGGGUCACGCGCGCAGAGAAGUCGCUCGGCGCCGUUUCUUGGAAACCAGUUCAAUUCCUCGCAGCGCCGUGACUCAAAGCGCGCCGGUGAAGACAUGCGUGACACAUGGAGCGUAACAGAUACCGCGUAACGCACAGCGCGUAACGUCGCCAGCCCCCCGCUCCGAGUGUGACGUGGGGCAACAGAUCCCCGUCCCGUCGCAGCAGGAAUGCCGGCGGCACCGCGGCAGAGCAGACGCGCCGAAAUGAGUCAGGUUUCGGCGCGGCCCCGCAUCACAUGGCCGGCAUUCCUGGAACGGCGGCUAUGAAUGGACUCACGAGGCGCUCGUCACAAACGUGUGGGGGAGCAGAGUUUCCGAAGCGUCUCAUCCCCGUGUGUCUUCUGGCGAGGGCAGACACGUACUGGCACGUCGCGGGCAUCCGUCACGUGCCGCGCCAUGUCCCCAGGCUCAGCAUCAGUCAGAAGCAGCCGCCCCAUUCAGCUGGACUCGAAGGACGGAGUUUGAAGGAUUGGGCUGUGACGGCACAUCUGCGCAGUGAAGGUGUCAGAUAAAUGCAAUGGGAAGAAAACUGAGAAAGCUUCUUUAACGUCAACAUUUUCGUAUAAUUAUGCUAAUGAGCCAGAUCACAUGUCUGGGCUGAACGAAAUACCUCCGUAUAACCGAUUAGUAAUAAGUAAACCGAUUCUAGUAAUGAUAUUCAA